ensembl:lncRNA
UUUUGAGGUGACUGUGUGAUUUGAGGUGACUGUGUGAUUAUUUGAGGUGACUGUGUGAUUAUUUGAGGUGACUGUGUGAUUAUUUGAAGUGACUGUGUGAUUAUUUGAGGUGACUCUGUGAUUUGAAGUGACCGUGUGAUUAUUUGAAGUGACUGUGUGAGUGUGUGAUGAUUUGCGGCAUCUGUCUAUGAUAAACACACAGCUAGUUAUAACCUUUCUUGUUUCUUACAACCUUUCUUACUUGUUAGCAAGAUUCACUUGGUGCAAAACUAAAGAAGCAAACUUUGGACACCAAACUUGCCCUACAUUUCAGGAAUACCGUGUACAUUCCACUGUUCCUUCAACAUACGUCUUCCAAGAGGAAUAUUCUGGCCGUUAUCUCUCUGUUAUUGAGCUAUUUUUCAUACUUUUUCUACAUGUGCAUGCAGAGAUUGUGGGUGUGGGUGGGGGUGGUGGGGAGACACACACCAGCUCAGAGGAACGUUAUUACGUCCCUCAUUUGUUUUGCUAUAUCAGGGGAAUGGGACACAGCCGGGCGGAGUAUCUGUUACUGACAGCGCCGGCUGAUAAAAGUUCCCCGUUAUGAAUAAUGCUAAGUAUAUUACUCACUGACACGCCACAAUUCCAAUUUAUGCACCGCGACGGGCGCAAUUUAUAACUUUCAAUAUGCAAGGAUGUGGCAAGUCGUUCGAGGAAGAUAGUGCGAGCAUGUGUAGC